rnacentral:lncRNA from 1 species
AAGCGGCGCAGCUGCCCUGGGAGGACGGCAGGUGCUUGGGGUAGACGAGUUAUGUGCAGCCUCCUCGUGGGGAGGCCAGAGAACGGGUCUGUCACAGGGCCAGCCCUGCCCCGCCCUCCUGACCCUGUCCCGCGCUUGCUCCAGGUCCGGGUUGCUCUCCGGCGGCCUCCCUCGGAAGUGUUCCGUCUUCCACCUGUUCGUGGCCUGCCUCUCGCUGGGCUUCUUCUCCCUACUCUGGCUGCAGCUCAGCUGCUCUGGGGACGUGGCCCGGGCAGUCAGGGGACAAGGGCAGGAGACCUCGGGCCCUCCCCGUGCCUGCCCCCCAGAGCCGCCCCCUGAGCACUGGGAAGAAGACGCAUCCUGGGGCCCCCACCGCCUGGCAGUGCUGGUGCCCUUCCGCGAACGCUUCGAGGAGCUCCUGGUCUUCGUGCCCCACAUGCGCCGCUUCCUGAGCAGGAAGAAGAUCCGGCACCACAUCUACGUGCUCAACCAGGUGGACCACUUCAGGUUCAACCGGGCAGCGCUCAUCAACGUGGGCUUCCUG